rnacentral:rRNA from 1 species
GAUGAACGCUGGCGGCGUGCCUAAUACAUGCAAGUCGAGCGAACGGACGAGAAGCUUGCUUCUCUGAUGUUAGCGGCGGACGGGUGAGUAACACGUGGAUAACCUACCUAUAAGACUGGGAUAACUUCGGGAAACCGGAGCUAAUACCGGAUGAUAUUUUGAACCGCAUGGUUCAAAAGUGAAAGUCGGUCUUGCUGUCACUUAUAGAUGGAUCCGCGCUGCAUUAGCUAGUUGGUAAGGUAACGGCUUACCAAGGCAACGAUGCAUAGCCGACCUGAGAGGGUGAUCGGCCACACUGGAACUGAGACACGGUCCAGACUCCUACGGGAGGCAGCAGUAGGGAAUCUUCCGCAAUGGGCGAAAGCCUGACGGAGCAACGCCGCGUGAGUGAUGAAGGUCUUCGGAUCGUAAAACUCUGUUAUUAGGGAAGAACAUAUGUGUAAGUAACUGUGCACAUCUUGACGGUACCUAAUCAGAAAGCCACGGCUAACUACGUG